AUGAACUAUUUUGUGAAGUUUCAGAUGAACUCCAGGUCAUACAACAAACUGGACACCGCGAAUGACAAAAUGGAUUUUAACACCCGUGGAAAUACCGCGUUCAAUGGCACCUUAGACCGGAAUCAAUCAGGUGUGUCUGCCAAUCCAUCCACAGCAUCCAAACCAGCUGCACACUCGCAGAUCCCAAUGGACUUCAGCACUCGUGAAAAUACAGCGUUCAAUGGCGCCGUAGACCGGAAUCAACCGGGUGUCUCAGCCAAUCCAUCCACAGCAUCCAAACAGGCUGCACACUCGCAGAUCCCUUCGGAUAAGAAACCACGUCCCAAGAAAGAAGAUUUUGCUGACAAAGGAAACCCAAACCACAUGACAAAACGCCUUGUUAAUCCUGCGGAGAGCCCUGUGCUGACACCAACAAAAGCAGCAUCCAGAGGCAUGAACAGUAAUACACAAGAGAAACUUAGUGAUUCCGGUCUAACCAUUCGUCAAGGUAGCGCUGACAGUCCAAGAAGUAACAGCUUGGAUAGCUGCAUGUCCGGCCAUGUCAAGCAUCACACUGGAGGGGACUGCCGAUGGGAGGCCGUCCAGUUGGCCAGCUCCAGGGACUCCCCUCUCAGCCUAGUCCACUUUAGACUUCUGAAGCGCCUUGGAUACGGAGACAUUGGCAGUGUUUACCUUGUGGAGCUCAGGGGCACGGACACGUUCUUCGCGAUGAAGGUGAUGGACAAGGAGUCGCUCAUCAGCAGGAACAAGCUGAUCAGGGCGCAAACGGAGAGGGAGAUACUCGGCCUUCUCGAUCACCCUUUUCUGCCCACGCUGUACACUCAUUUCGAGACCGACAAGUUCUACUGCCUUGUCAUGGAGUAUUGCUGCGGCGGUAAUCUCCAUUCGCUUCGGCAGAAGCAGCUGCACAAGCACUUCUCCGAGCAUGCAGCCAGAUUUUAUGCCUCUGAGGUGUUGCUGGCACUGGAGUACCUCCACAUGCUAGGCAUUGUGUACCGAGACCUCAAGCCGGAGAACGUCCUCGUCCGAGACGGGGGGCACAUCAUGCUGUCCGACUUCGACCUGUCGCUGCGGUGCUCGGUGAGCCCGAUGCUUGUGAAGUCGUCGUCGGUGCACGCAGGCCCCAACGGCAUCGAGAAAGGGCUGACCAACACGGAGGGCGUGAGCAACGGGUGCAUCCAGCCGUCGACGUUCUUCCCGCGGAUGCUGAGCAUGAGCAUGAGCAAGAGGAACCGCAACAAGACCAAGUCGGACCUCAGCCUCCACGGGCUCCAGACCAUGGAGUUCAACGCGGAGCCGACGGACGCCCGGUCCAUGUCGUUCGUGGGCACCCACGAGUACCUGGCGCCGGAGAUCAUCCGAGGGGAGGGCCACGGCAGCGCGGUGGACUGGUGGACCUUCGGCAUCUUCCUCUACGAGCUGCUGCACGGCAUGACGCCCUUCAAGGGGAACGGCAACCGCGCCACGCUGAGCAACGUGGUGGAGCAGCCGCUGCGGUUCCCCGAGAGCCCGCCGGUGAGCAACGUCGCGCGGGACCUCAUCCGGGGGCUGCUCACCAAGGACCCCCAGAAGAGGAUCGCGACCAAGAGGGGCGCCACCGAGAUCAAGCAGCACCCGUUCUUCGAGGGCGUGAACUGGGCGCUUGUCCGGAGCGCGCACCCGCCGUCGGUGCCGGACCCCGUCGACUUCAGGCAGUACCUAGGCAAGGAGAAGAAGGCAGAGCGUGGCCUUGGCACCGUUCCGAGCAGCUUAUCGGCUGGCGCUGUCGCGGCAGCCAAGACGGCCUCCGGCCAGUUCGAGUAUUUCUAG
rnacentral:rRNA from 1 species